ACUCCCGUUGAUCCUGCGGGAGGCCACCGCUAUCUCCGUCCGGCUAACCCAUGGAAGGCGAGGGUCCCCGGGUAAGGGGGCCCGCCGCACGGCUGAGUAACACGUCGGUAACCUACCCUCGGGACGGGGAUAACCCCGGGAAACUGGGGCUAAUCCCCGAUAGGGGAUGGGUGCUGGAAGGCCCCAUCCCCGAGAGGGGCUAGCGGUACUUCCCCCGCUAGCCCGCCCGAGGAUGGGCCGGCGGCCCAUCAGGUAGUUGGCGGGGUAAUGGCCCGCCAAGCCGAAGACGGGUAGGGGCCGUGAGAGCGGGAGCCCCCAGAUCGGCACUGAGACAAGGGCCGAGGCCCUACGGGGCGCACCAGGGGCGAAACCUCCGCAAUGCGGGAAACCGUGACGGGGGGACGGAGAGUGCCGGAGGGCGUUAUGCUCUCCGGCUUUUGGGGAGUGUAAGUAGCUCCCCGAAUAAGCGGUGGGCAAGAGGGGUGGCAGCCGCCGCGGGAACACCCCCACCGCGAGCGGUGGCCGUGAUUAUUGGGCCUAAAGGGGCCGUAGCCGGGCCGGUGUGGCUCCGGUGAAAUCCUCGGGCUCAACCCGAGGGCGCGCCGGAGCUACUACCGGCCUAGGGACCGGGAGGGGCCGACCGUACUCCCGGGGGAGCGGUGAAAUGCUGUAAUCCCGGGAGGACGACCCGUGGCGAAAGCGGUCGGCCAGAACGGGUCCGACGGUGAGGGCCGAAGGCCGGGGGCUAGAACGGGAUUAGAGACCCCGGUAUUCCCGGCUGUCAACGCUGCGGGCUACCUGCUGGGCGGGCUACGAGCCCGCCCAGUGGGGUAGGGAAGCCGUUAAGCCCGCCGCCUGGGGAGUACGGCCGCAAGGCUGAAACUUAAAGGAAUAGGCGGGGGAGCACACAAGAGGUGGGGUGCGCGGUUUAAUUGGAUUCGACGCCGGGAACCUCACCGGGGCUGACAGCACAAUGAUGGUCGGCCUGAAGGGCCUACCGGAGGCGCUGAGAGGAGGUGCAUGGCCGCCGUCAGCCUGUGCCGUGAGGUGCCCUGUUAAGUCAGGAAACAGGCGAGACCCGCGCCCGCAGUUGCGACGGCCGAAAGGCCGGCACACUGCGGGGACUGCCGGGGAAACCCGGAGGAAGGUGCGGGCGACGGCAGGUAUGCAUGCCCCGAAUGCCCCGGGCUACACGCGCGCAUCAAUGGGCGGGACAGGGGGCCGCGACCCCGAAAGGGGGAGCAAAUCCCCAAACCCGCUCUCAGUCCAGAUCGAGGGCUGCAACUCGCCCUCGUGACGGCGGAAUCUCUAGUAGUCGGACGUCACCAGCGUCCGGCGAAUACGUCCCUGCUCCUUGCACUCACCGCCCGUCAAGCCACCCGAGCUGGGGCCUAGCGAGGCCGUGGGGGGUUCGCCCCCCACGGUCGAGCUAGGCCCCGGCGAGGGGGGCUAAGUCGACACAAGGUAGCCGUAGGGGAACCUGCGGCUGGAUCACCUCCU
rnacentral:rRNA from 15 species